GAUGAACGCUGGCGGCGUGCCUAACACAUGCAAGUCGAGCGAAGCACCUUACUUGAUUUCUUCGGGAUGAAAGUAUUGUGACUGAGCGGCGGACGGGUGAGUAACGCGUGGAUAACCUGCCUCAUACAGGGGGAUAACAGUUAGAAAUGACUGCUAAUACCGCAUGACGCUUCUUGGGGGCAUCCCUGAGAAGUCAAAGCUUUAUGUGCUGAAAGAUGGAUUCGCGUCUGAUUAGCUAGUUGGUGAGGUAACGGCUCACCAAGGCGACGAUCAGUAGCCGGUCUGAGAGGAUGAACGGCCACAUUGGGACUGAGAUACGGCCCAG
rnacentral:rRNA from 1 species